GAUCAGUGAUGAAAACAUCCAAAUCUGAGCAUAAGAAGACCUUCAAGUCUACCUGAUACAUGAUCUCUAGUUCUGAGA
ensembl:snoRNA